rnacentral:rRNA from 1 species
ACGCUGGCGGCGUGCCUAACACAUGCAAGUCGAACGGAGUUGAGCCCUUCGGGACUUAACUUAGUGGCGAACGGGUGAGUAACGCGUGAGGAACCUGCCUCAAAGAGGGGGGACAACAGUUGGAAACGACUGCUAAUACCGCAUAAGACCACGGGAUCACAUAGUUCUGGGGUAAAAGAUUUAUCGGUUUGGGGUGGGCUCGCGUCCGAUUAGGUAGUUGGGUGAGGUAACGGCCCACCAAGCCGACGAUCGGUAGCCGACCUGAGAGGGUGAUCGGCCACAUUGGGACUGAGACACGGCCCAGACUCCUACGGGAGGCAGCAGUGGGGAAUAUUGCACAAUGGGGGAAACCCUGAUGCAGCGACGCCGCGUGAGUGAAGAAGUAUUUCGGUAUGUAAAGCUCUAUCAGCAGGGAAGAAAGUGACGGUACCUGAAUAAGAAGCCCCGGCUAACUACGUG